rnacentral:rRNA from 1 species
AGAGUUUGAUCAUGGCUCAGGAUGAACGCUAGCGGCAGGCCUAAUACAUGCAAGACGAACGGUAAGUUGAGUAGCAAUACUUAGCCAAGAGUGUCGUACGGGUGCGUAACACGUAUGCAACCUACCCUAUACAGGAGGAUAGCCUAGGGAAACCUGGAUUAACCCUUCAUAGUAUUAUUGGAUGGCAUCAUUUGAUAAUUAAAACUGAGGUGGUAUAGGAUGGGCAUGCGUCUGAUUAGUUAGUUGGCGGGGUAAUGGCCCACCAAGACGAUGAUCAGUAGGGGUUCUGAGAGGAAGAUCCCCCACACUGGCACUGAGAUACGGGCCAGACUCCUACGGGAGGCAGCAGUAGGGAAUAUUGGUCAAUGGAUGCAAGUCUGAACCAGCCAUGCCGCGUGCAGGAAGAAGGCCUUCUGGGUUGUAAACUGCUUUUGCCAGGGGAUAAAAUUUCCAUGCGUGAAAAACUGAAGGUACCUGGUGAAUAAGCCACGGCUAACUACGUG